UUGGCGGACGGGUGAGUAACGCGUGGGUAACCUGCCUCACACUGGGGGAGUAACAGUUAGAAAUAGCUGCUAAUACCGCAUAAGCGCACGGUUCCGCAUGGAACAGUGUGAAAAACUCCGGUGGUGUGAGAUGGACCCGCGUCUGAUUAGCCAGUUGGCGGGGUAACGGCCCACCAAAGCGACGAUCAGUAGCCGGCCUGAGAGGGUGAACGGCCACAUUGGGACUGAGACACGGCCCAA
rnacentral:rRNA from 1 species